GACAGAGGGGGCAAGCGUUGCUCGGAAUUACUGGGCGUAAAGGGCUCGUAGGUGGCCAACUAAGUCAGACGUGAAAUCCCUCGGCUUAACCGGGGAACUGCGUCUGAUACUGGAUGGCUUGAGUUCGGGAGAGGGAUGCGGAAUUCCGGUGUAGCGGUGAAAUGCGUAGAUAUCGGAAGGAACAUCAGUGGCGAAAGCGGCUUCCUGGACCAGCACCGACGUUCAGGCACGAAAGCGUGGGGAGCAAACAGG
rnacentral:rRNA from 1 species